GACAGCAGCAGCCACGGUAAUACGGAGGGUGCAAGCGUUAAUCGGAAUUACUGGGCGUAAAGCGCACGCAGGCGGUCUGACAAGUCAGAUGUGAAAUCCCCGGGCUUAACCUGGGAACUGCAUUUGAAACUGUCAGGCUGGAGUCUUGUAGAGGGGGGUGGAAUUCCAGGUGUAGCGGUGAAAUGCGUAGAGAUCUGGAGGAAUACCGGUGGCGAAGGCGGCCCCCUGGACAAAGACUGACGCUCAGGUGCGAAAGCGUGGGGAGCAAACAGGAUUAGAUACCCCGGUAGUCCCUGUCUCUUAUAC
rnacentral:rRNA from 1 species